UAAUAUAUAUUUAACUCAUGAACUCGAUAAAUAACCAUUCCCAUUGUGGCAUUGCUAAAGAAAUUUUAUUUUUCAUUAACAAAGAAUUCCAUCUCAAUUGGAAAUUAUUCUCAUCAAAUAUAGCAAUGUUGCAUUUGUAAAUUUUAUGGAUCUGAUCUGGAUUUAUUUAUUUUAGUGGGCAGUAUAAGGUUUAAUCCACUGUUAUAUAAGAUUUUAGGGAACGCAGUUUAAAUGGCCUUAAGAGUGUAGUGAAGACCUUAGUUUUUCUUUAAUGAUACUGAUAUAUUUACUCCUUCCCCUUCCUCCUGCUUCCCACCCCCUGCCCCUAGCACCCCCAAGAUUUCUUCAUUCCAGUUUUAAUGUAUAGUACCGAAGCAGUCAGAAUGUGGCUUAAGAAGCGGAAACGCCUCGUAUGGUACUCAAAAAUUCAUGCCUCCCGCCAAAAGAAGAUUCAUCUUUAGCCUUCGAGAUGGUUUUUUUUUUUUUUUUUUUUUCUCUCUAUGGAAGUUCAAAAUUUUGCCUUUCCUUUUUGUGUUGUUUGGAAACUUUUAACGCUUUUUGGUUUCUAAUUGUGGUGAUGAUGAUAUUGAUUUUGCAAGAAAAGAAGAGAAUGAAUCGCAUGAAGAAACCUCAAAGGUACUACUGAAGUGAUUUGGGUAUUUAUUUAUUUAUUCUUUUUUUUCCUCAAUUUUAAAAAUUGUUUAGAAAAUUGAGAUUUGGAAAUAUUUUACUCAUAGGUCAACUAUGUUGUAAUUAGAUUGUAGAUCAAUAAUUUUUUGGGAGAAUUGGCAUGUUUGGCUUUGUAUUUGAUUUAUGAAAGGAGCAAGGAAAGAAGUAUUUUUAGAACCCCUAUAUUAGAGAGCUUGAUUGCCACUGAGGGAAGGGCCAAUUGGCUGUGGAAUCUCCUAUUUUAUGGUUAGAUGCUGAACUAGCUUAUCUUACUGGCAGCCUUACAAAUGUACCUUAUGCUGUAAGAUAGUUUUCUUAAUCUAUAUUCAUUUAGUUUAGACACUGUAAGAUAGUUGGAAUUAUUUUAGUUAUUUUAUUAUUUUUAGCCAAUUGUUGUACUAGAUUGGUUUCAUUUAAUUUCAGUUAUUAUAUUUUAGAUUUUAAAAAUUUAAGGAUGAAGCUCAAGUUUAAUGCAAUGGAGUACAUGCGCUUAAAAUUAUUACAGUGACAAGUUUAAUGUAACAGCUGCUAUCACACUUCCACUUACACUCCUACUUGCCAUUGCCAUUGUUUAUAGAUUUUAUUAUUUAU